AUGGUGCUCAUCAACUCGUCCCUCUCCAGCCUGCUCUUGUUCAUCAUGAGCUUCUGCAACCCUCUGGAGACGCUUCAUCACGAGAUCGCCACUGUUCAGGGCCGUUUCUUCUGGGCCGGUGAGGGAGACAAGCAGAAGUACCACAUGGUUAGGUGGUUAGAAAUCUGCAAGGCUCGGGAUCAAUGUCUUCCAAACGCAUGA
rnacentral:rRNA from 1 species